AGAUGAUAGGCAAACACGAGAAAAUAAAAUAAACUCUUCUAACUAUGACUGGAAAGACACUAUGGCUGCCGAAGGCAACUCAAAAGAUUCACUUGACGAAAUAUGUCCUGAUAUAAUACCAGAUGUCAAAUAUUUGGAAGUUCCCUUUAGAAGCCUACAAAAGAAUCUUAAUUCGCCUAACAGUUCAAGGGAAGAAGUGGUGAAAGACAUUUUUGUAUCUACGUCAUUAAAUGGAGAGACCAAUAAAACUUUCCAAAACUAUGUUCAAGAAACCGUGACUUAGGAGCAAGUAGUCUGUAAGUGUCAUAAUUGGAUCUUCAAAGUAUCAGGUGUGUAUCCACAUUCUAGAUUUGAGAUAUCCAGUAUUUGGUGGAAGAAUUUUCAGGACCUGUUGGAAUUUUGUGACCUCUCUUAAUGUUCUGUUGGCUUUAAUCAUUUACAUUAACUGCAGUCUUUGUUUUAAUGUUUACUAGUGUAAUUAAUUCUGUUUGACAAAGAUAUCUAAAAACUUGUCUCGCCAUUACGUGUGCCUUGAAAUUACAGUCGGCUGAUGACGCAAGUCAAAUGUAUAACACUGAAUUCUUAGUCUUUUUGAUUGCAGUACCACUAAAAUAUAUAAUAGGAUUUAUAAUGAUUGUUUCUGAUAAGUGUUACAUAACUUAUAAGGAAUUUUCUUUUGUCUGUUUGUUUUCAGCAAAAUGCCAUUGUCUAUAAGUAAACACCAGGCAUCUUAUUUGUAAUGUUUAACAAAUAGUGAGUAAAUUAUAAAGAACUAUGCUUGAAAAUACGGACUUUAAUAAAUUUGGAUGAAACCACAAGGACGCACAGAACAUAACUGUAUUGCUUGCAAAAAGCCU